rnacentral:tRNA from 1 species
GCGAAUGUGGCGGAAUUGGUAGACGCACUGGAUUUAGGUUCCAGCGCCGCAAGGCGUGGGGGUUCGAGUCCCUUCAUUCGCACCA